rnacentral:lncRNA from 1 species
UAAUGGUGUUAAUGAUGAACGCUGAUAACGUACGAAUAGCUAGCGCUUGCGUAUAGUCGUAUGGUGUCUUACAAUUAAAUGUUUAGUUCGCUACCGUGUAUUUGAAUAUCUUGUGCUAUUUUCAUUAUAUUCAUACAUAUGCAUCUUGCAUCUCAUUUAGGACCUAGAGAUGAUGAUCGUGCAAGAGAUGUGGUGCCAACCACAAGAUGCAGUUGGUGGAUGACCCAAAGAAGGAUGGACUUAACUAGUGGAUGCUCGCCAAGCGAGUGUCAUCUAGCAAACACUAUCUAGUGUUAGAUUACAGGCAAGCACUGGUUUUAUGCAUAACCGUUAUAUAUGCUAUUUUCCUGCACUUAAUGUUUGUAGGAUUGUACUGUGCACUUUAGUGUAGGAGUUGCCUGAAACCCUAGUUGCAUGAACUCAGGAUUCCUUUUGAGAUGGAUACUAGUAUGCUAGGUCGAGUAGCUGCUUUACUAAUUAUGGAUCUCGGUACAAGUCGAGUGAUUUUUCUAGCACUCGCGCGAGGUCAGUAAUUGGUUGUACCAUUUUUUAUAUCAGAAUGAUGAUGGUCUGUGGACAACGAUCCAUGGGGAUGUAUGUCUACGAGACGAAAAUUGGAAUAAGGAUUAAUGUGUGGUACCGUGUGUCAAGCGUUUGAACGUACUAAACACAUGCCGAGAAAUAUGGUAAAUCGGCAAGCCUAGUACCUGAGUGAACCUGCCCGCAGAUUGCCCUCCUCACGCGACCUGAGACGUAGUCUCCCAUUCCGGUUAUGGUGGGUACAAGUGCGGUCACUCCACGAUGGCAAUCGGGGUCAGUGAGGCAUUGUAUGCCAAGGCGGUGAGCCCCUUUCUGUUGACAGAGAAUCAAUGGGGACAGUUGAUGUGUGUGGGGAAGGAGUGCCUCGCCACGUCGUGUGUUUAGGUUUACCUUGCAAGGUUUAAAACUCGAUUCGAAUUGUCUGCUUCUCGCAGCUAAUGAGACUGCUUGAUCCAUGCUGCUGCAUCGAGUAAGAAGUGAAAUGAGGUUACUUUCAAAAGAUGUUGAUUGACAUAAUGUUUGAUACCAUGCAUGAAUAGCUAGGUACUCAUCUAGUCUAAAUUAUUAUUCUAGAACUUGAAAAGAUAAAACUUGAUUUUAGACUCAGCUAGUGCUUUUGGCAAACCAAACCCCUCAGCCAAACAGCUGCAUGGUCUGGAGGUAGAGGAGUAGACUCCUCACACCGGGUAAGUCUAGCUGGGUAUUAGUAUACUCAGCCUUGCUUGUGGCUAAAUUUUUUGCAGGUACCUCCUUGUUUUGGUUGAUGGUGUGACUUGGCCUUCAUCUCUGCC